CAAAGUCAUUAACACAUGGGCUGUGG
rnacentral:piRNA from 1 species